ACAAAUCAAACUACACAAAUCAAACACUUUAUUAAGUCCUUUUGGCUCACAGAGUUUUAUAGAGAGACAGAAGAAAGAAAUCCUUAAAGCAACAAAGUUGUCAUGCAUUAUUAUUGUCCUUGAAAAAAAAGAACAAAAGUUUAGGUACAUAAGAUAUUGCAUAGUAAACCCAAGAAGCAAAAAAGAAAAAGAAACAGACCCUUUGAAGGUCUCAUGUUGGAAAGAAUGAGACAUUUGGUUUGUUUUUAUUGAAGAUUUUUGCAAGAGGUGUUUUGUGUUUUUG
rnacentral:lncRNA from 1 species